UUAGCAAUGAUGAUUGGCGCAGGGGUACUGACCUCAGCUGGAUCAUGGGAGCUGAAAGCAUUGCUGGGUCAGGAUAGCUGACGUGUGGUUGACUGCCUGACAACAGCCUGCAUGAAACGGUCGCCAAACUGAGCUAC